GCCUUUUGUUAUUUAACACACCCCUUUCCCCGAAAAGAUUCUUGGAUUUACUACUUAAGGGAACGUUUCUAAACGUUCGAUUCUGUUACCCAGAUCAGCCCAUUUCGUGGAACUUCAUGUUCCAUGUUAUGUAUAUUUUGAAGUCAGCUUUAAUGACCUCAAACCAGCCUUAAACCUACCGAUACCACCAAACAUGUUCCUAUACCCAUAUCCCACCAGAAGUGUUCUGCAAUACAUUAUGCACACGAUUCACUACCUAUGUUUACUUACAACAAGAAGGUGAAAAAUAAAGAUGACUACAUCUUAUUGACUGACUUCAGAAGUUCUGGACUCUUAUUGCAGUUUUCAUUGGCAAUCGGCAUAAUACUGACAACUCUACUCUACAAAUCACAUUUGAUGCUUUGUUGAAAAUACUUAUU
rnacentral:lncRNA from 1 species